rnacentral:rRNA from 1 species
CAGUGAUGUCUGAGCAAAUUAUUUAAAUAAGCAAAACUUUCAACAACGGAUCUCUUGGUUCCGGCAUCGAUGAAGAACGCAGCGAAAUGCGAUAAGUAAUGUGGACCGCAGUACUCAGCGACUCAUCGAAUCUUUGAACGCAUAUUGCGCCCCUU